GCCGAAUGCCUAGGAUGCGCCAGAGACAGCUAAAUCUUUCUUCACAGAGAGAACCAGGCAACAGCUUCCAUCUAUUAGGGAUGGCACGGAGCUGAAGCAUCUUGCCAUUCCAGCACCAUGCCAGCCUGCCCUUGGCGCUGUUAGCUGGGAAACAACUGACUAUCCUGAAGCACUAAGGAUGGACAGAUCCGAGAGCAGAGCUGAAAGCAAGCCAACCCGUCCCAGCCUCUCCGCACCUCGGCCUCACCUCUGCAUGUUUCUAUUUGAGCUGUGAGAAAGAAAGCUGCUCCAAUGACAAGGAUGACGUGGAGAAGAG
rnacentral:lncRNA from 1 species